rnacentral:rRNA from 1 species
UACGGAGGGGGCUAGCGUUGUCCGAAGUUACUGGGCGUAAAGCGCGCGUAGGCGGGUUGGUAAGUCCGCUGUGAAAGCCCGGAGCUCAACUCCGGAGGGUCGGUGGAUACUGCCAGUCUUGAAGGUGCUAGGGGGAGAUGGAAUUACCGGUGUAGCGGUGAAAUGCGUAGAUAUUCGCAAGAACACCAGUGGCGAAGGCGGCCAACUGGUCCGGUACUGACGCUGAGGUGCGAAAGCGUGGGGAGCAAACAGG